CCGCAAAAGAAAAUAAAAGGGCUUGCAGAGGUUCUUCUUGGACAUGGUGUGAGCACACAGAGAGGAUAUGCAGAAGGAAGGUAUAAUGUUAGGGGGAGUGAGAAAUGAUUUGGGGAAAUUGCAGGCGUAGAUUUGUGAGAGGGAGGGUGAGAAUGAUCCUCUCUUAAUCGAGAAGAUUUGAGGGGAUGAAGAGUAAAAUUACAAAAUGCCCCUUGUUAUACUGUGCCUGUGCGAGAAUGGGAGGUGAGAACCAUUCUCCCCCAUAACAAUCGAUUCUGCUGGUUCAGAUAUGAUUGUGGAUGCGUUUGGAAGAGGUGGUGGUGGCCGCAGGUGGUUUCUUCAUUGGUGCUGCUCAGCUGUGGGGCUGUAAUACGUCGACGUUGGUGGUGAAGGUGUCCUCAUGAUGCGUUUGUGGUGGAGGUGCCUGCUGGUGCCGUAUUUUGUGGGCUGAAGGUGACGAAGAAUACUUACGAGAAGGAGAAACUGCUUAAAAAUAAUAAUUAUAACAAUAUAUAAUACUAAUAAUAAUAUAAUUAUAAUUAUAUAAUUAUAUAUAUAUAUAUAUAUAUAUAUAUAUAUAUAAAGUUUCUUAAUUACUAUCUUUUAAAUUAAAUAAUUACUCUUCAUAAGAGAAUUAUUUUUUUAUCAUUUAAAUUAUUAUUCUUUUAAAUUAAAAUAAUUAUACAUAAUAUUACUUAUAAUAUUUUUUUAUAAUUAAAAUUUAUUUUAUUUAUAAUUUUGUCUAUAACUAUAUAUAUACUUUUUGUUUCUCCAAUUUUACUAUUUUAAUUAGGUUAAAAACAUUUAGACGUCCGUAUUUUCGUAAGGUAUUCCCAAUUUGGUCCCCUUCUUUUAAACCUUCCCAAUUGAGUUCUUAUAACUGCUAAUUUCAAACAAAUUAAUCUCUUCCCUUAAAAAUCGUUAACGGUGUUAAAAUUGUACAAUUUUAACACCUCUGCACAAUUUUAACACUUCAAAACGAUAAUUUUAACCACGUCAUCUACUCACCUUUGCACAAUUUAAACACCGUUAACAAUUUUUAACGGCAGGGGCUAAUUUGUUUGAAAUUAGCAGUUAUAAGAACUCAAUUGGGAAGGUUUAAAAGAAGGAGACCAAAUUGGAAAUAUCUUACGAAAAUAGGGACGCCUAAAUGGUUUUAACCUUUUAAUUAUUAUUUUUAAAAUUUAUAUAAUUUAUAAAUAUUUAGAAAUAUACACAAUAUAUUAGUUACGCUAAUAAUAAUAAUAAUAAUAAUAAUAAUAAUAAUAAUAAUAAUAUAUUCGGUUCUGGUCGUCCAUCUCCAUAUCAUAGAAGAAAUCAUUGUUUAAUUCUCUCAUUCUUGAAAAGCACUUUAGAAGUGCUUGGUCAUCUCCUUCCUUACAAAGAGUCUUUCGCUGUUAUCCAAUGUAAUUACGGGCGUCACGUUCCAGGAAUUCUAUCUUUUCAAAUCUAUCGGCAUCAUUAACCAAGGAUAUGAAACUUUUGUUAAUGCGAACACCAGCAUCAUGAUUCAUAUUAAGGGUGUGCUUCGCAUGCAUAUUAAGUCUUCGAUUACCAUGUAUGAGGUUGAAAUUAUUCGGACACGUGUCAUGGUUGUGUUCAUUAAUAACUGUUCUCACCUGCCAUCUUCCUUCUUUCAUAACAACUGUGAUUCCAGCAGGACAUUGAGUUUUUUGACUUGGCUGGGCUUUCCAUUCUCGAGCAAUGGGAGAUAGGUACUUCCCUUCCCUAGAGCACACUAAUUUCAUGAAGUUUAACUCGUUAUUCUUAUUUCUCCUAGAAGUCCUUAUCCGAACACCAAAACCGCAUCUCACAACAUAGUUUGUAUAAAAACUCUUGACUUCUUCAAUUGUAUCAAACCACAUAUGAAUUUUAGGGACAUUAUCAUUGAUAUUCUGAAUGGAAUUGUUGUUGACCUCACAAGUAACUUCUUCCAACGACAUUGUGUGAAUAUUUUGUAACAACGAGAUCCAAUUCUUUCACCUACUCUAAAAUCACAAGAACAUGAAAAGUAAAUGAAAGCAAACAUUAAAACAUUAUAACAACAAAAUUAGUUUUGCGAGACCACUAAUGUUCACGAUCAGAAAAAAAACAUAACCACAAUUGGUGUAUUUCCAUUCCAAAGAUUAUUAUAAUAAAAAAAAUAUUUUCAAUACAUCAUAAAAAAAAGUGUAUAAUAUAAAGUAUAACAUUUUAAAUUAGUGAAUUAUGAACUCAGUGAAUGAUAUUAGAAAAAAUAAUAAUUAAAAUAUAAAGUCUAGUCUUUUUCUAUCCUUUCUCAGAUGACACAUAACUAUGAAAGACAUCUUAUCUGUAUAACAGCAACAUCUCUCCUUCUCUGAAACAUACCCAACAAAUUAUAUUUACUUUCUUUAAAAAGUUGAAACAGUGAAGAAAAAUCUAUUAUUAUUUUUUAAAUAGAAAAAUUAAAAAUUCCAAAAAAUGUUUUUGAAACAAUGUCCACCAAAAUAUUCCAUCUCUGAUUUCACUAACCUCUUGGGCUUCCCAUCUCACCUCCAUCGCUGUAACCUUUUUAAUAAAUAGACAACACUUUCUUUUUCAUUUUGUUCACAUUAUCCUCUCUCAACAGAAACAAGUUCUAAUCUCAACCCCCCACCACACAGUUAUCCUCAUUCACAUCCUACUUACUUCAAAUUUCUAUUAUUUCAUUCAAUUUCAAGGAAGAUUAUAUUUUUCAACACUGACAACCUUUUCGUGAGAAAAUUACUGUAAUUAAAAAAAUAAUUUUUUUUAAUUGUUGAAAAAAUAAUGAAUAAAACUCCAUUUCAAGGAAUUAUGUAUGAUUAUAUUCAUUUUGAAAGUCCUACAACUAAAAUAUAAAUUAAAUUGUGCCUUAACUUGUAAUUAAGAUACUCUCAUCUUAUAAUUUGUAGACAAGCAUGGAUCAAUAACAUCAGCUUUUACUAUUAUAUAAGAAUCGUGAAAUUAUAAGCAAAGAAUAAAAUCACUAUUUUCAUUUAAUAUACAUAUCUUUUCUUGCUUUGUUCUGGUUUAUGAGACUGCAAGUAUAAACUUUACAAUAUGCCAAGUCUUGGACUGGGAGCAUCAGGUGACUGUGAUCUAGAGAUGCCUUGAACCAGGAAUGUCAAUCCAAUUCAACUGGAGUUUCACCUCCCCACACAGUAAUUACAACUAUUCUAAUUAAUCACAUAAGACAUAUAUAAUAGAAGCACAAGGGUCGAUACAUAUCACCUAAGCAUAAACCAUGCUCUUUGUCGUAAAUACAACAACCUCACAAAUAGAAUAGAUUAAGCGUUAUUCCAAUUUUUUAACACAAAAAUAGAAAGAAAAGACCUUAGGUACUCCGACGGCACUGCGGCAGCACUGUGGCAACACUGGGUGGUUGGAAGGACUGAAGACGAUACUGUCAAGGUUUUGCCUUCGAACGUCAACACUAAAGCGACAGCACGGUGGUUAUGAGGAGAGAAGACGACGACGUCUAAGUUUUACUUUCGAACGCCGGCACUGCGACGACACUUGGUGGAGGAAAGACAACACUCUGGCGGUGGGACUCCAGCGGCAGCACUCCAGCAGCUGGUUCGACUUUCUCACUUGGCGGUGGAGGCUGAUUCUCUCUCAAAUUACCUAAAUCUGAAAAUUUCACAAAUAAACCCUAAUUUUGAAUCUCCCUCCAAUUUUCUCCUUGCCACGUCAUCAGAUUAUUAUAAAAUGAAUUUCCAUGUGGACGAAUGAAAUUUGAACACUUGGACUGUGUCUAAAUGUUGUUAAAAUAUGUUGUUCAUAUAUCAUUAUCCUUUAUUUAUUUAUGUUAAAAGAAGAGUUUUAUUUAUUUGUUUGGAGAAAAAAAUAGAAUGACAAAUAAAUUGUUAAAUUCACAUUCUAUUACAAUUAGGGUGAUUUUAUUUUUCAAUUUUAUCUCAUUAUUUUAAGCAUUAUGGAUUUGGUCUCACUUUUAAAAGUUUUUAAUCAUAUCAAUGUUAACUAAUUUAUAAUAAGAAUAAAUAAUAUAUAUAUAUAUAUGAUACGAAAAUUGAAUCAUAUACUCAUAAGAAACAAAAACAUGUGCAAUUAACGUUAAAGGUAAUAACGGGUCACGUCAGGUAUGAAUAAUGUUUAUCCGUAAUCCGAUCCGAAAAUAAAAAUUCUAUGUACAUUGUGUUCAUUAUCAGUAAGAUAUUUAUUUAAAAAAAUUCAUAGAUAUUUUAAAAUCUAUCGAUAUCCACAAAUAUUAAAAGAUAUAUAUUUUUUACAUUUUAAAAUAAAAUUUAAAUAAAAUUAAAAAAUAUAUAAAAUUUAAUAUAAUGAAAUAAAAUAUAAACUAAAAUUUAAUUUUAUUUAUAUUUAAUCUAAAAAGUAUAAAUAAAUUUUAUUUUAAAUUCAAUUUAAUCAAAUAAAAUAUAAAUUAAAUUUUUAUUUUUACUUUUUAUAAAUAACAAUAUCCAAUUACUAGGCACAAGAAUUUCGUCAUAUAUUGGAAGUUCCAAUGUUGGUUAAUAAGGUCUUGCCAACUUUUAUUGCGCGAUACACCCAAGAUUCUUAUCAAUGCACGCUUAAAUAAUGCCAAAAUCCAUUUAUAACAAAAGAGAAUUGAUUCUCGUGGCCAACAAAACUGAUUCUCUGCAAUCCACAAGCUGCCAAAAUCAAUUUUCAACGUACAAAAUUGAUUCUCUCUUAUGAAAAUUGAUUCUUUAACUAAUUUAUCCAUAUAGAACAAAUUUUCCUUUCCCCGAAAUCAAUUCUCCUCCUUCCCCAACCCCUUUCUCCUUCGUCAAAAUUGCCAUUAUACGCAACAUAAUGGAUUCUCUCCCUCCCUAAAAUCACUACUCAUUCUUACCUCAGAAACACGUAAGCCACCUCUACUUCGACAACAUGAAUGCGAGCAAAGAGAGUUGACUAUAAGGAGUUGUUUUCUCCUUUGUCUAAAAAGGAUUAUCUUUAAGUAAUUAUAACAUUAAUAGUUUAGUUUAAUUUUGAGUUACAUAAAAUUGAUGGAAAAAUAAAGUUGUUUAAUGGUAUGAAGCAAAAGAAGUUUACAUGAAACAACCUAAAUGAUUAUUUUUCUAGUCAUAGUAAGCAUUUAUUGUGCAAGCUUAAUAAGUUCACAAGUGGAUUAAAACAACACAACACUCACAACAAUAUAAAAUUUCAUGAGAUUAUGUCCUCUUUUGGUUUUGAAGAGAACAUCGUAAAUCAUUGUAUAUAUUAUUAGAAGGUUAGUGAAAAUAAAAAUUAUUUUCGUAUUUCAUACAUGGAUUAUAUGUUAUCAAGGUAUGUGUUAUGUAAGGUGAAACAAUUUCUCUAUGAGAACUUUGGUACAAAGGAUAUUACGUCAUAUGAAUUAAUAUUAAUAGAGAAAGAACAUGAUACGUCAUAUGAAUUAAUAUUAAUAGAGAAAGAACAUGAUGUAUUUUUUUUCUUGUUUUAUACAUGUAUGAUAUUUUAUUCUUGUUUUAUACAUGUAUGAUAUUUUAUUAAGGUAUGCUAUAUAAGGUGAAAUACUUCCUUUUAAAGAAAUUUUAAAAUGAAAUAUAUGGAAAGGAUUAUGUCAUAGACAUUAAUAUUACAAGAGAAAAAGAUCAUAUUUUGAAUUUAUCUUAAGACACAUAUAUCAAUAAAAUUUUAAAAAGUUUAACAUGAAAUAUUGUUCACCCGACUCCUAUUGUGAAAGAUAAUAAACUUGACAUAAGUCAAUGCUAAAAAAAUUAUCUUCAGCGGAAAAAUAUGAAUGUUGUGAAGAAGAUAAUGAAAUAUCAUUAAUGAAUAAAUAAUUUCAUGUUCAUAAGUUACUCUAAUUUAAACUUAGUUGGCUAUAUAAUGAUAAAAGAAAUCUACAAUCUGAUUAUGUUUUUAUGCUAGCAUGUGAAAUUGUAUCUUAGAGUAGUAGAAAACAUAUCUUGAGUGUUAUUUUUUUAAUCACAAUAAGGUGUUCAAGCCAAGGGAAGAGAGGGUGUUGGAUUGACUUUUUUUUUUUCAAUAAAAUAUGUUCUUUUUGAAUUUUGUAAAAAUCUUUUUAUAAAAUCAUAACGAUCACAUGAUUUAAUAAUGUAUCACUUUUGGAUAAAAAAAUUUAAUUGACUAAAUUAUGAAAUCAACAUGUUAAGAUUCUCACAAAUUCUACAACAAUAUCACUCCACAUUCAUAUUUUAAGUUUGAUUCAUUUGAUAACAAAAAUCAAUUAAUGCACUGAAUAGAUUUCCGAAAUCCAUAUCUAUAUAUACUAUUAUAAUAAUGUUAAUCACAUUUUUUUGAAAACACAUUUAUCUGACCAUGACUCCUCUGACUAUGACUUUCCCGCUCCCACUCCUUUUUUCAAGACAGUUAUACCUUCAAGUCCAAAGAUCGACGGUGGUGGGGUGCCGCCUCUAUGGCAGCCCACCACCGCUCGAAAUCUUAAAGUGGAAGAAGGAAAAUGAUGAGAAUAGGCGAUUUGAGAAUUAAACUGUAAAAUAAUUCUAGAGGGCUUUUUUUAUCCUUCUCAUAAUCUUCUAUUUAUAAUAAUAAAUUGAUACAAGAGUACAUGAUAAUUAGAGUAACCUAGACACAAUAUAAUCAUGAUAAUUAGAAUAACCUAGACACAAUAUAAUCAUGAUAACUAGAGUAACCUAGAUACAAUAUAAUCAUGAUAAUUAGAGUAACCUAGACACAAUAUAAUCAUGAUAAUUAGAGUAACCUAGACACAAUAUAAUCAUGAUAAUUAGAGUAACNNNNNNNNNNNNNNNNNNNNNNNNNNNNNNNNNNNNNNNNNNNNNNNNNNNNNNNNNNNNNNNNNNNNNNNNNNNNNNNNNNNNNNNNNNNNNNNNNNNNNNNNNNNNNNNNNNNNNNNNNNNNNNNNNNNNNNNNNNNNNNNNNNNNNNNNNNNNNNNNNNNNNNNNNNNNNNNNNNNNNNNNNNNNNNNNNNNNNNNNNNNNNNNNNNNNNNNNNNNNNNNNNNNNNNNNNNNNNNNNNNNNNNNNNNNNNNNNNNNNNNNNNNNNNNNNNNNNNNNNNNNNNNNNNNUCUUUAGUCAACAACUUUUCACAAACAAAAUGACAAUCAAUUUCUAUAUGUUUAGUCCUCUCGUGAAACACUGGAUUUGAUGCAAUGUGGAGCGCAGCUUGAUUGUCGCAAUACAUCUUCAUAGUAUGGAUGUCACAGAAUUUAAGCUCUUGAAGGAAUUGUUUCACUCAUAUAAGUUCACAUGUUAGUGACGCCAUUACCCUAUACUCAGCUUCCGCUGUUGAUCGAGCUACUACAUUUUGUUUCUUACUUUUCCAUGAAAUAAUGUUUCCUCCCAGAAAAACACAAUAUCCUGUAGUAGACCGUCUAUCAAUAGGCGAGCCUGCCCAAUCUGCAUUACAAUACCCAGCGACUUGAAUGCUUCAUUUAUCUUCAUAUAAGAGUCCUUGCCCGGGAGCCUUUUUGACAUACCUUAGAAUGCGAAUGAAAGCAUUCCAGUGGUCAACACAUGGGUCCUGCAUGAACUGACUAACCACUCCAACUGCAAAGGAUAGAUCUGGCCUUGUAAUAGUGAGAUAAAUCAGUUUUCCAACCAGUCUCCUAUACCUCUCUGGAUCAGAGAAUAAUUCACCUUCUUCUAUCUUUAAUUUCUGGUUUGGGUCCAUGGGACUGUCUACCGGUCUGCAAUCAAUCAUGCCUAUUUCUUGUAAUAUAUCAAGAGCAUACUUCCUUUGGGAGAUCACAAAUCCAUCUUUUGAUUGCGCUACUUCAAUGCCUAAGAAGUAUUUGAGACUUCCAAGAUCAUUGGUUUGAAAAUGUCUACACAAGUACUCUUUCAGUUGAGAUAUUCCAACAACAUCAUUUCCUGUAAUGAUAAUAUCAUCAACAUAUAUUAUUAAGUAAACACAUUUCCCAAGAGAAGAAUGACAGUAAAAAACCGAAUGGUCUGCUUCACUGCGUUUUAGCCCAAAUUUUUGAACAAUGGAGCUAAACUUUCCAAACCAAGCACGUGGUGAUUGCUUGAGGCCAUAUAGAGAUCGAUGCAAUUUGCAUACCAUACCAGACUCCCCCUAAGCAACAAACACAAGAGGUUGCUCCAUAUAAACUUCUUCCUCAAGAUCACCAUGUAGGAAGGCAUUCUUGAUAUCCAAUUGAUGAAGUGGCCAGUGACGAAUGACUGCCAUGGCAAAGAAGAGGCGAAUAGUAGUCAUUUUGGCGACAGGAGAGAAAGUGUCACAAUAAUCAAGAUCAUAAACCUGAGUGUAACCUUUUGCAACAAGCCGAGCUUUGAGCCGAUCAAUUUCACCAUCAAGACCGACUUUAACUGCAUACACCCAUCGGCAACCAACUGCCUUUUUGCCCGGGGAAAGGGACACCAGCUCCCAAGUAUUACUGUGGUCAAGAGCUUGCAUUUCCACAAUCAUAGCUUGUCGCCAUCCAGGAUGAUCAAGUGCUUCUUUGACAUUCUUGGGUAUAACAACAGAAGACACUGAGGAUAAAAGAGAAAAAUAGGAGGGCGACAAUCGAUGAUAGCUAAGAAAGUUAUAAAUGGGAUGGGGGUUUUGAGUGGAACGAGUACCUUUUCUGAGGGCAAUUGGCCAUGCUGAAUCAUUGGCACCAGGAGGCGUGGGAGGAGGUGACGAGGGAGAAGAAUCUGAAGCAGGAGAUUCACCAUUGUCUUGGGGAGGUGGACUAUCCAUGGGGGCCCUGUGUGAGAUGAUCUCAGUAUGUGGAGAACCGGGUGCAGGAGGAUGGUGAUCAACACUUGGAAUGACAGAGACAAUGGAUUUAUUUGACUCAGCCAUCGGAAUAGGAAGGACUUGUUGGAGGAUAGAAACAUCUUGAACAGAUGGAGAGAAGUAAGGAGUUUGUUCAAAGAAAGUGACAUUAGCAGACAUGUAAUACUUCUUAGUUUCAGGAGAGUAACACCGAUAUCCUUUUUGAAGUCGGGAAUAGCCUAAGAAAACACAUUUGAGAGCGCGAGCAGAGAACUCUAGACCUGGAGACAUGUCAUGAACAAAACAUACACAACCAAACACUCGGAGAGAUGUAUGAAAGAGAGGAUCAUUAGAAAACAAAAUGGAGAAAGGGACUUUAUUAUCAAGAGAGGAGGAGGGCAUCCUAUUAAUAAGAUAACAUGUAGUUAAGAUGGCAUCUCCCCAGUGAUAGACAGGAAUAUGGNCACCAAGCAAAAGGGUACGAGCAGUUUCAACCAAGUGUCUAUUUUUUCGUUCUGCUAUACCAUUUUGCUGUGGUGUAUGAGGACAAGUAGACUGAUGUAAGAUACCAUGGGAACUCAAGAUGGCAGAAAAAAUGGAUGAGAAAUACUCUUUUGCAUUAUCUUAAUAUUUUAAUUACUUGACCAAAUUGAUUCUUGAUUUCAUUCAAAAAAGAUGUAAAGAUAACUAACAAUUCAGAACGAUUUUUCAUAAGAUAAACCCAAGUACAUCUUGAAUAUUCAUCAAUAAAGGUAACAAAAUAUCUAAAACAAAGGAGGAGAUACGACUAGGUCCCCAUAUAUCAGAAUGGAUAAUGGAAAAACUAGAAUUACAUAUUGAUUGAGACCUUUUAGGAAAGGAAGAUCUAACAUGUUUUCCUAAUUGACAUGAUUCACAUUCUAAGGUUUGGAGACCACUAAGUUCAGGACACAUCUUUUUUAAUUUGGACAAAUGAGGAUGGCCAAGUCGAUCAUGUAGCACUUUAGGAUUAGGAGUAGCAGGACACCCUUGGACGAGAUCCAUAAUGGUAUAAUCCAUCAGCUUCAUAUCCUUCUCCAAUCCGUCUCCUCGAACCACGCUCCUGUAUAACAAAAGAUUUAUGAUCAAAGGUUAUUGAACAAUUUAACAUUUUGGUCAACUUGCUUAUGAAAAUUAAAUUAAAAGGACAAUUAGGGACAAAAAGGACAUAGUUGAGAUUGAGGGAGGGAGACAAGGAAACAUGACCGACUCCUUUGGAGAAAGUUUUAGAUUCAUCUGCAAAGGUUAUGAAAUGAGGUUUCUCUCGAAAAGAAAUAGAUGAGAACAAAGAGGUAUUACUAGAAAUAUGAUCAGAAGCACCUGAGUCAAUUACCCAUGAAUUUGGACCUUCCAUGGAUUGAGAAAUGCAGGUUGUUGAUGUACUGGGAGAUUGAGAUGAUUCUGCCAAGCUGUUGGACUUUAACCUUAAAUACUCUUGAUAUUCAUCCUNGGUGAACUUAGAAGUGAAAGUUUCAAUCUUUGGAGUGGAAGUUCCAGUCUUCAAAAUAUUGGCGGUCUUGGAAGGAAAACCAUGUAAAUAAUAACAAUUUUCUUGAGUGUGACCCAUCUUUUCACAGUAUGUGCAUUGCGGACGUCCCCGACCUCCUCGUCCUCCUCCUCUAGUGCCACGUCCUCCUCCUCUAGUGCCACGUCCUCCUCUUCCUCGUGUGGCAACCAUGACAGAUGGUUACACUAGUUCAUGCGCUUCUUGAGUUUGAGGUACUGGGACACGUAGAAGACGAGUGGUCAAUGUUUCCAUGGAGGGGACCUCAUGACUAGUUAGAAGUUGAUCUCUGAGAUGAUCAAAAUCGGGAUGUAGGGCACGAAGGAUCAAUACCAUGUAAUAUUUGUCCAAUUUCUUUUGGAUAUCCUUUAAUGGGUCCGCUUCCAAAAACAUCCUCAGUUCUUCGACGGCAGAUUGGGCUUCAGCCAUAAAGGACACCAUAUCAUGGUUUGUCAUUUUAAGAGAUGCAAGCUUGUUCGCAGUGUCAUAGAGACGUUGAAUAUCGUUGACAUAAAUGCUUUAAGCUUUCUUCCAAAAGGAGUGACAAGUUUUGAAAGCCCUCAGAGAUAUAAGAAGGUUGGGUUCCACCGAUUGCCAUAAUAGGGCACACAAGUGGAAAUCUACUUGUUUCCACUUAUCAACUUUUUCAGUAGGCACAUGACUUCCAUCUUGCUCAAGGUGGUCAUAAAGCCCUUGGCCAAGGAACCACAUUUCAACGGCAGCAGAUCAUGAUAGAUANNNNNNNNNNNNNNNNNNNNNNNNNNNNNNNNNNNNNNNNNNNNNNNNNNNNNNNNNNNNNNNNNNNNNNNNNNNNNNNNNNNNNNNNNNNNNNNNNNNNNNNNNNNNNNNNNNNNNNNNNNNNNNNNNNNNNNNNNNNNNNNNNNNNNNNNNNNNNNNNNNNNNNNNNNNNNNNNNNNNNNNNNNNNNNNNNNNNNNNNNNNNNNNNNNNNNNNNNNNNNNNNNNNNNNNNNNNNNNNNNNNNNNNNNNNNNNNNNNNNNNNNNNNNNNNNNNNNNNNNNNNNNNNNNNNNNNNNNNNNNNNNNNNNNNNNNNNNNNNNNNNNNNNNNNNNNNNNNNNNNNNNNNNNNNNNNNNNNNNNNNNNNNNNNNNNNNNNNNNNAUCUUCUAUUUAUAAUAAUAAAUUGAUACAAGAGUACAUGAUAAUUAGAGUAACCUAGACACAAUAUAAUCAUGAUAAUUAGAGUAACCUAGACACAAUAUAAUCAUGAUAAUUAGAGUAACUUAGACACAAUAUAAUCAUGAUAAUUAGAGUAACCUAGACACAAUAUAAUCAUGAUAAUUAGAGUAACCCUAGACACAAUAUAAUCAUGAUAAAUAAGAUAAAUAUCCUAACAAGGCGGAAGCAGGGGCUUCCUUCUUUCUUGGAAAUCUUAAAGUUGAAGAAGGAAAAUGAUGAGAAUAGGCGGAAGCACCGCUCUCGAGAUCUUGAAUGGAGGAGGGCAUGGAAGGCUAAAUACAUAAAGACGACGAAAGAGAAUGAGGAUCCACAUCUACAUAUUGACUGGAGGGCUGUGGCGCCCGACAUAGAGCUUUGGAUACUGGCGAUGAAAUACGUGAAGGUGGAGAUGAAAGAAGGUUACUUUCAACAGAAUUACCACGCCGAAAAUCUUGAAAUGAGGGCACGGAUAGCCAGGUAUAUAAAACUCCAGAUGAAAGGGUCGCCGAUAGGCUUGGCCCAAAUUCUAGCCGAAAGUCUAAAAGUUGAAGGUGCAAUAAUGGUGACACUCAUAAAACACGGAUAUCUGUAAUUUGGGUAUAUACUUUUUUCUGCAAUAUGUCUUAGUUCUUGGAUAUUACAAAGAAAGGUACAUAAUACCUAAUUUGAGUGUAUUGGCAAUUGGUUUUUUGUUACAAGAAUAUAUCAGUUUACUCUGUGUAAAGGGAACUUCAAAUGUUCUAUACUCAAAAUUUCCUAUUUCUUUGAGAAGAUUGAAUGCAUAAUUCCUUUGAGAGAUAAAGAUACCUCAUCCAGAAUAGGCGAUCUCCAUAGCUCUCAAUAGAUCCUUGGGAUUGUGUGGGUGGAUCUGGUUUCUAAUAUUCACAUGUAAUCCUGCAAAAAUAUAUCGCAUCAGUUGAUCAUUUGUCACGUCCGCUGCUUGUUCCACUUUUUUCAUCCACCCCCGCUGGUAUUCUCUUUUGUCUUCCUCCCAUUCGUCAUCAAUCUCUUCUCUGCUUCCCAUUCUAUCCCCACUUACAAAAUCUUUGCUUCCUUCAAACCUCCUUUCAAUAUUCUUAAGUUUGCGCAUAACAUCCUCCAUCAAAUCACUGAGCCUUUGAAAGUUGGCUCUAGAUUCCUCCCUCAUUUCCUCACUUACCCUAUCUACGAAUGCUCACUCUACUCUCCAUGACUCUCUUGGUGUUUUUGAUCCGGCAAGUCGGACCAAUUAUUAAGUUUCUUGGAGACAAGAAACCAGAUUUCAAAUUCAGUUUAAGAAAUGAUCACACAAAUCCUAUUGCACAAUGUAUGAUCACACUUUAAUUAGGAAAAACAUAAUAUUGAAAACAUCCAACAGCUUCCAAGGGAAGAAAUCUUUCUACACAUGACGAGCCCUGUUCUAAGAUGAAAAUACCCACCAGCCAGGAGGGACAUACUUAAUAACUACCGCUAACCACCUAUAACUUGCCUAACUACUGCUAACUUUUGAACUUUUUUUCUAACAUACAUCGUAAGAGCCUUAUCAUAUUCUUUGAUUUGGACCUUGUAAAUAUCGAGUUUAACAUAAGUGAAUUAGCUGAUCGAAUCAUUUUCACUAUAUGUAGCCUUAUCAUAGUCAUGCUGAUAGAAUCUUUGAUUUGGAGCCUUAUCAUAGUCAUGCAGACCUGUGCUUGAGUGUGCAUACUUUGGCUAGAAAAUGAAGAUAAUAACAUCCUUUUGUCAAAAUUGAAUAUAUGGUGAGACGAUUUCAUGUUUGAUAAAUUCAAACAAAAGUUGCCCCAGAAGACUUUUCAGACAUAUUAUAAGAGAAGUGAAAUAGAAACAAAAUGACAAAGGGUUAACGCCACAAACAUAGCUGAAAAACAGAUGCGAAGGGACUGGGACUGGCAAUGGAUUAUUCAACUCUUUCUCUUGCAUGAUAGGAGUGAAACAGAGGUGAGAAAUAGUAGCAUGUUAAAUUUCCUCAUCAACCUCGUCUUAUGAACUCUAGUAUGUAAAGGGAAUUUGUAUUGAGUAUGUCUUAAGAAAUAGUAAUUGCUUUUAACUCUCACUUUCAUCUCUUUUUCACUCAAUUUGCAUUAAAUCAGACAUUAUGGAUGAGAUGAUGGCCAUUAUCAUUUCUUUUCAAUUUACCUACUUUUGGUAGGCACAAGCAUUAUAUCCCACACAACAAUUAUUCCUUUCAAAUAUCAUUCAUCUUCUACAAAGAAUAUCCCAAUGAAUCAGGCAAAAGAAAAUGUUGAUAUUACCUAUAUCAAAGCUUCUUUAUGACUUCAUCAAUUACACGACUAUAGUAAGUCAUUCUCCUGAUUGCCAAUUUUGCUUCCUCAAAAUUCUGGUUUUGAAAAGCGUGACCUAAGGUAUUAGACCAAUUUUGCAGCUUCUCCUGCAUCUGAAUGACAAAUCAAAGGAUGACAUCAAGAAACAACAUGAAAGUAAAAAUAAUUCAAAAUAUUAGAACCAAUUAUGCAUCUCUUUGCAGCAUUCAGCCUUGUUGGAGAUUCCAUGCAUACCUGGGAGAGAAUGCGAUUCAAAGCCUCCCCAUUUGUAGCUUCUUCAACUGCUUCCCUGAUUUCAAGAAUCUAUAGUAAAAUUUAGCAAUGAAACUUGGAAGCCAGAUUUUCCUUUAGAAGAAGAUGGAAAGAUGAGAUAAAAGAUAUUCGAUAAUUUAUACUACUAAUCUUACCAUACAAAUUUCAGAAUUCAAUUUAAGUUAUGGAAAAACAGAAGCUGAGAUAUUCCACAGAAAGAAAUUAAAAAAAAAUAGCGAGCAGAACAAGCAAGAAAAGAUGAAAAGAUUUUCCAAGUGAUAAAAUGCUUCUUUCAUCCCCUUGAACGUUUGCCUAACUGAAUUGCAGUUUUUAUACAUAAAAUUUAUGUUAUUCUCUUCAUAAAGUAAGUAAGUCUUCCAAAAAUCGGCACAAUCCAGUUAUAAAUGGAAAUGGGAUUCCAAAUUCUGAAGAGAAAUACCUAAACUAACCAUUCAAUGACAACACAAUUGCCAAACUUCCCAUUUACAGAAAAUGUCACCAAAUGAACCUUGAGAGUGAAAGCUGAUUUAAACUUCAAAGAGGAUAACUAUCCACCCAUUUUCCAAAGAAAUAGCUUCACAUAUAUUUUAUUUACCAUGGAAAGGAAUUUAAAAGAAAAUUUCACAUUGAAAAGCAAUAAGGUUCUUUUGUUACCUCUGUCAGUAGUUCUGGAUCUGAUAUUGUCUGCUCUUCAUCAAUUUCUACUCCAUUAAGCUUCAGCUGAAAAGAAAAGGCACAACUUUACAUGGUAACACCAACAGAGAAACAAUUGAAAUUGAACAAUAUAUAACUAACUACAUCGAUGGAAAGCAUAGUUAGAUGGCAUGUUUGAUGUAUNNGNCCCAAUUCAGAUAAUAAAUUUCACCAGCACAAAUNUAUUANNUUUCNAGNUUUUCAAAUUUNGCAGANAGUUUNNUACUGNAAUGAAGCAUCAUCAAUUUGGAAUCUUUGAUGGAAGUAUUCUUACCAAGUAAAUUCCUCUUGACAAAGGCUUGCUAAGUGUACGGUACGCAUCAAUCACCCUUGCAGAUUGUUCAGCAGCAAAAUCCCUUUCUUUCUAACCAAUUGAAGGAAAACAAAAUCUUUUAGUUCCUCCAAAACCUCAUUCAACCUCACUGCCUUCCCCCAUCCCCUUAAAACAAAAAGAGUAGAAAGAAAAAUCAAAUAGAAAAACAAGAACUUAAAAUAAGAAAAAAGGAUAUCCCAUAAUACCAACCUGAGAUUUUGAAUGUACUAAAUCAGGAUGCAGCUUCUUUUGCCACUCUUUGUACUUGACCUCCAAAUUCUCACCUUCUUGAUCAUACUUCCUCUCCCUGUUUAAAAUUAAAAAACAAAUAGUAAAAAUGAUUUUUAACUUCUUAGCUCAUCUAUAAAUUUAUAGACAAUAAUUCAUCCAUUAUAUAAAUAUAUUUUUCUUCCUUCAUCCCAAAAACUAAAGCACACACAUUCAUAAUCCAGCAAUGAAACUCCAAAACUUAACUAGACACGAAUAUACAUUUUAUGCUGCAACAAAAAUGGAUUAAGCAAUGACCUACGCUAAAAAACACACACGCACAAUUAAUUUCCUGAAAUACUAAAGUUUCACUUUUCCUAAUUCAGUGUCUCAAAACAGACUGAGUCAACAAUAUCCCUGUGUAUACUUGUUGCUUUCCACUGCAAUUGACCAACCAAGGUGAAAACCCAAUAAAUUGUCAGAAGAAGAAAACUUACAAACGCAAUUGAUUUUUUUUUUUCUUAGUAUUCUUCUAACAGAAUUGAAAUUUCACCUCCCUGUGCUGUGUUAAUAUUUAAUUCAAACUUUAAUUUCAUAAAUUAUCAAAAUAAAACUCCAAUUCGAUCGGAGAAUGGUACCAGUAAACAAAAAAGCACCAAAAAACAAGGCGAAAACCAAAUCAAUUGUUAAGCAAUUCCUUAAUUUUUUAUUUAGUGUUCUUAUGUCAGAAUUGGAAUUUCACAUCACUGAGCUAUGCUAACCUUAAUUCAAACUUCUACUACACAAAUUAUAAAAAUAAAAAAUAAAACUCUAACUCAGAAGGGAUAAUGGUGUCAACAGAACUAAAAACACCGAACUAAAGAAGAAAACUUCGGAAGCAAUUUCAGCACCCAGAAGAAAAAAACAAAGCCCCGGAAGCUUACACCCCAAAUAUCUCAAAAUAGUCGGUGGAACCAUCGACGGGUUGAAUGCACCGNCACGAGUCGCAUACGAGGAAAGGNGCGGAAUGAGGGGCAGCAUGGCAAUUCCAGCACCCACUUUGGAUUUCCACGGNAGAUUUAGAGCAUAAAGUUUUNNAGGAAAACCCGGGAGAACAGUUGAAAUCGAAGGUGGGAGCGCGAGGAGGAGGAUGGUGAGGUGAUGCAUGAUGAAGAAGAGAGAGUUUAAUGUGAGGAGGAAAAUUGGAAGUGAAGUGCUGCGGAAAUGAAGUUAAAGAGCGCCGCAAAAGAAAAUAAAAGGGCUUGCAGAGGUUCUUCUUGGACAUGGUGUGAGCACACAGAGAGGAUAUGCAGAAGGAAGGUAUAAUGUUUGGGGGAGUGAGAAAUGAUUUGGGGAAAUUGCAGGCGUAGAUUUGAGGGAGGGAAGGUGAGAAUGAUCCUCUCUUAAUGGAGAAGAUUUGAGGGGAUGAAGAGUAAAAUUACAAAAUGCCCCUUGUUACACUGUGCCUGUGCGAGAAUGGGAGGUGAGAACCAUUCUCCCCCAUAACAAUCGAUUCUGCUGGUUCAGAUAUAAUUGUGGAUGCGUUUGGAAGAGGUGGUGGUGGCCGCAGGUGGUUUCGUCAUUGGUGCUGCUCUGCUGUGGGGCUGUAAUGCGUCGAUGGUGGUGGUGAAGGUGGAGAUGCCUGCUGGUGCCCUAUUUUGUGGGCCGAAGGAGACAAACAAUACUUACGAGAAGAAGAAACUGCUUAAAAAUAAAAUAAUAAGGGUUAAAUAUACUUCUAGUCCCUGAAGUUUCAUUGAUUUUUGGUUUUAGUUCCUGUAUCAAACAUUGAUGGCAUUUCAUCUUCUUAGUAUGGAAACAUGUAUUUUUGGUCCCUAAAAAUAAACUGUGUUAAAUUUUUGCUGA
rnacentral:lncRNA from 1 species